GAUGAACGCUGGCGGCGUGCCUAAUACAUGCAAGUCGAGCGAGCGGACGAGAAGCUUGCGUUUCUGAGGUUGGCGGCGGAGGGGUGAGUAACUUGUGGAUAACCUACCUAUAAGACUGGGAUAACUUCGGGAAACCGUAGCUAAUACCGGAGAAUUUUUUGAACCGCAUUGGUCAAAAGUGAAAGACGGUCUUGCGGUCACUUAUAGAUGGAUCCGCGCUGCAUUCGCUAGUUGGUAAGGUAACGGCUUAGCAAGGCAAGGAUGAAUAGCCGACCUGAGAGGGUCAUCGGCUAAACUGGAGCUGAGACACCGUCCCCACUCCCAGGGACGGCAGCAGUAGGGAAUCUUACGGAAUGGGGGAAUGGCUGAUGUCGCAAAGCGGCGUGAGUGAUGAGGGUUUUCGGAUCGUAGAAUUCUGUUAUCAGGGAAGAACAUAUGUGUAAGUAAAUGUGGUGAUAUUGACGGUGCCUACUGAGAGAGCGAGGGCUAACUACGUG
rnacentral:rRNA from 1 species